AACGAACGCUGGCGGCGUGCCUAACACAUGCAAGUCGAGCGCGAAAUUUCCCUUCGGGGAGAAAGUAGAGCGGCGCACGGGUGAGUAACACGUGAAUAAUCUACCUCUCAGCCUGGGAUAACCACGGGAAACUGUGGCUAAUACCGGAUAAGCUUACACUGUCUCUGGGCAGAGUGAGAAAAGGCGGCCUCUGUAUAUGCUGUCACUGAAAGAUGAGUUCGCGUCCCAUUAGUUAGUUGGUGAGGUAAUGGCUCACCAAGACUUCGAUGGGUAGCUGGUCUUAGAGGAUGAUCAGUCACAUGGACACUGAGACACGGGUCCAACUCCUACGGGAGGCAGCAGUGGGGAAUAUUGCGCAAUGGAGGCAACUCUGACGCAGCAACGCCGCGUGGGUGAAGAAGGGUUUCGGCUCGUAAAGCCCUGUCCUGGGGGACGAAAAGCUUCGGUUAAUACCCGAAGUCAUAGACGGUACCCCAGAAGAAAGCACCGGCUAACUCCG
rnacentral:rRNA from 1 species